CCUACGGGAGGCAGCAGUAGGGAAUCUUUCACAAUGGGCGAAAGCCUGAUGGAGCAACGCCGCGUGCAGGAUGAAGGCCUUCGGGUUGUAAACUGCUUUUAUAAGCGAGAAAUAUGAUGGUAACUUAUGAAUCAGGAUCGGCUAACUACGUGCCAGCAGCCGCGGUCAUACGUAGGAUCCGAGCAUUAUCCGGAGUGACUGGGUGUAAAGAGUUGCGUAGGUGGCAUAAUAAGUAGCUAGUGAAAUCUGGUGGCUCAACCAUUCAGACUAUUAGCUAAACUGUUAAGCUCGAGACCGUUAGGGGUAACUAGAAUUUCUAGUGUAGGAGUGAAAUCCGUAGAUAUUAGAAGGAACACCAAUAGCGUAGGCAGGUUGCUGGGACGGUUCUGACACUAAGGCACGAAAGCGUAGGGAGCAAACGGGAUUAGAUACCCCUGUAGUC
rnacentral:rRNA from 1 species